GAAGAGUGAAACUACAACUUGCAUAAUGAAGUGGUUCAUAAGCUUCCUGCUUUUAUCGUCUUUGUUGAUGGCGACGGAAGGCCAGCAGCAGGUUAUCCGUGAAAAUGGAAAUCGACAAGAUUCCCCCGCCCCCCUCUGCCCCUGCUUCAACCCUCCAUGCCCGGGCUGUAAUGGGCCGAUACUCUCCAUUUUUACCAUUAAGAUUAGGUUCAAGCGAAAAGAACAUUGAUUGAACUUUGAACUUUUCUUCAUAGGACGGGGUCUGGCGUUUCUCACUAAUUUGGAUUUUUUGUGAACAAUACAUUUUUUUGGAAAUUUGACAUAUGUAUACGUUAGAUACGAAAUAAAAAAACAAAUGAUAAUAAUU